rnacentral:snoRNA from 1 species
ACUGAGGUCUAUCCCGACAGACCUUUCGCUGUAGGGCCGUGUCGUUGGAAAUGCCUCAGACAGCAACUCUGUGGUUUGCUUUACCCACGUGUUCCCUGCUGUGGACCUGCUGGGAUAUGACUGCAGAACACUG